UGGGGGAUAUUGCACAAUGGGCGAAAGCCUGAUGCAGCGACGCCGCGUGGGGGAUGAAGGCUUUCGGGUUGUAAACCUCUUUCGCUAUCGAACAAGGCCCGCUUAGGGUGGGUUGAGGGUAGGUGGAGAAGAAGCGCCGGCUAACUACGUGCCAGCAGCCGCGGUAAUACGUAGGGCGCGAGCGUUGUCCGGAAUUAUUGGGCGUAAAGGGCUUGUAGGCGGCUUGUUGCGCCUGCUGUGAAAACGCGGGGCUUAGCUUCGCGCGUGAAGUGGGUACGGGCAGGCUUGAGUGUGGUAGGGGUGACUGGAAUUCCAGGUGUAGCGGUGGAAUGCGCAGAUAUCUGGAGGAACACCGAUGGCGAAGGCAGGUCACUGGGCCAUUACUGACGCUGAGGAGCGAAAGCAUGGGUAGCGAACAGG
rnacentral:rRNA from 1 species